GGUGAUACUAAGUUGUUACAACUCGGGUAUAUAUAUGUAUUAGUGGAGAUAAUCGCAUAAUUUUAACUUUUAAGAAUAAUAAAGUGGAAAAUAUCCCUCUCUCCGUCGUCCCGUGCACUAUGAAUUUCUAUAUAAUUACCGACAACAUGUUUCUUUUUUUUUUUUUGGGUUUUUCUCAUUGUUACAAAUUGUGAAUUACAUCUUUAUGUUGACUUAUUUUUUGAGCUAAGGCCUAGGGUAAGGGCC
rnacentral:lncRNA from 1 species